UACGUAGGGUGCAAGCGUUGUCCGGAAUUAUUGGGCGUAAAGAGCUCGUAGGCGGUCUGUCGCGUCUGCUGUGAAAACUCAGGGCUUAACCCUGAGCUUGCAGUGGGUACGGGCAGACUAGAGUGCGGUAGGGGAGACUGGAAUUCCUGGUGUAGCGGUGGAAUGCGCAGAUAUCAGGAGGAACACCGGUGGCGAAGGCGGGUCUCUGGGCAGUAACUGACGCUGGAGGAGCGAAAAGCCGUGGGGAGCGAACAGG
rnacentral:rRNA from 1 species